GACGAACGCUGGCGGCGUGCUUAACACAUGCAAGUCGAACGGAAAGGCCUGCUUUCCCUUGUGGAUUGCGGGUACUCGAGUGGCGAACGGGUGAGUAACACGUGAGUGAUCUGCCCCCAACUUGGGUAUAAGCCUGGGAAACUGGGUCUAAUUCCCGAUAGGACUGCAGGGUGGUGCCUGUGGUGGAAAACGAUUUUCUAGUGGUUGGGGAUGAGCUCGCGGCCUAUCAGCUUGUUGGUGGGGUAAUGGCCUACCAAGGCGGCGACGGGUAGCCGGCCUGAGAGGGUGGACGGUCACAUUGGGACUGGGACACGGCCCAGACGCCUACGGGAGGCAGCAGUGGGGAAUAUUGCACAAUGGGCGGAAGCCUGAUGCAGCGACGGUGCGUGGGAGAUGACGGCCUUCGGGUUGUAAACUCCUUGCGACCGCGAGGAAGCCACCUGGUUGGAAGGGUGGUGACGGUAGUGGUAGAAGAAGCACCGGCUAACUACGUG
rnacentral:rRNA from 1 species